UCCAUCGCAAGAAGUUAGGUAGUUUAGAUUAGGUUAGGUAGGGUUUUCAAUGUUGUUUUUUUAACCCUUCAUGUUGAAAGUCUGACUCACUUUGGAAGAUUCAUUGUUUUUGUUAGUGUAAGGAAAUUAAGAUCAUAUUUAUUUAUUAGAAAAAAUCCAAAUAAAAACUUGUAAAACUAUCGUUUUGGCCGUGCAGCUAUUUUCCGAAGGUCAUAAAAGUUGAAAAUACAUCAAAAACCAUUGGAACAAGAUUAUAUCAACCUAACCUAACCUAUUUGAGUAAUCAGUUUCUCCACGUGGUACUAAACAAACAAGUGCCUUUAUUAUAAGUGUACGAAGAUGUUAUUUGACCACGAUUCUGGGCCAAAUAACCGUCGGCCAUUUGACCGGGACCUGCGGGGAUCGUAUAGGAUUGUAGUCGGGAUGGUUGGGGGCAUUAAACAAGUCAUUACAUUAUGGUAUUAUUUAAUUGUAUAAUUUCUGUUGACAAAAGGAUUUAGUUUUAUUUUAGAUCUCUGUCAAAUAAGCGGCGGUUAUUGUGCCGAGUACCGGUCAAAUAAUCCCUGCCUAUAAUAUAAUAGUUUUACAGUGUUGUGUAUUAUAUAGCUAUUGGUCACAUUUCCAGGAAGCUUCAAGGACCAACAACACAUCUCGGUACGACAAGUGGAGACUCGACCGUAGAGACCCGUCCGGUCUCGCACACGACGCCGUUAACGGCAAACGGAGAAACGCCGCUGGGAGGCACUUUCUCCAACACUGCCUACAGUGGACCUGAUGUGAACUAGAAUGAAGUUGGCUGGACAUGAAAUUUACUGGACCUCAAGUAGUCUGUGGAAGCUUUAAGGACCAACAACACAUCUCGGUACGACAAGUGGAGACUCGACCGUACAGACCCGUCCGGUCUCGCACACGACGCCGUUAACGGCAAACGGAGAAACGCCGCCGCCGCCGACCCGCGGGAGGUACUUUCUCCAUCACUGCCUAAAGUGGACCUGAUGUGAACUAGAAUGAAGUUGGCUGGACCUGCAGUGAAGUGGACCUGAAGCUAACUGGACCUCAAGUAGUCUGUGGUAUUGUAUUUAAUAUUGUUGUGGUACUUUGAAUGUUAGGAAAGUUGUACAGGCAUUCCCCAGUUUGAAAGAGUACU